rnacentral:rRNA from 1 species
CUGGUUUAACAAAAACAUCACUUUUUGAUAUAAUAAAAAGCAACUCCUGCUCCAUGAUAUUUAAAUAGCCGCAAUAUUUUUGUGCUAAGGUAGCAUAAUAAAUAGCCUUUUAAUUUUAGGAUCGAAUGAAAGGAUACACGACUUAAAUAUUUUUCCAUAUAAUUAAUAACAACUUUAUAUAAAAGUAAAAAAGCUUUUAUUUACAAGAAAGACGACAAGACCCUAUUGAAUUUUACUAAUGUUUAGCUGGGGAGGCCAAAAAUAAAUACUUCAUUAUAAAAAAUAAUAUAGACCUAUUUUUAAUAAUAAUAAGAACAAAUUACCAUAGGGAUAACAGCAUAAUUUUACUAAAAAGAUAAUAUUUAAAGUAAAGAUUAUGACCUCGAUGUUGAAUUAAUAAAACUUUACGAAAUAAAAACCGUCAAAGUAAGUCUGUUCGACUUAUUAAAUAUUACAUGAUUUGAGUUCAGACCGGCGCAAGCCAGGUCAGAUUCUAUCUUCUUUAAUGUUAUUACAGUACGAAAGGACCUAAUAAAAAAUAA